GCCUACGGCAAUACAACCCUGGCAACGCCCGAUCUCGUCUGAUUCGGAAGAUAAGAGGGUCGGCCCGGUUAGUACUGGAUGGGAGACCUCCUGGGAAUACGGGUGCUGUAGGCU
rnacentral:rRNA from 1 species